UAAGGAAUAUUGCUCAAUGGGAGAAAUCCUGAAGCAGCAACGCCGCGUGGAGGAUGAAGGGUCUAUGACUUGUAAACUCCUGUAAAGAAGGAAAAAAUUCCCAUUUGAUGGGAGAUGAUGGUACUUCUGGAGUAAGCCCCGGCUAACUACGUGCCAGCAGCCGCGGUAACACGUAGGGGGCAAGCGUUGUCCGGAUUUACUGGGUGUAAAGGGUGCUCAGGCGGAUUUGUAAGUCAGAGGUGAAAUCUUACAGCUUAACUGUGAAACUGCCUGUGAUACUGCAAGCCUAGAGUAUGGAAGAGAGUGAUGGAAUAUCUGGUGUAGCAGUGAAAUGCGUAGAUAUCAGAUAGAACACCAAUGGCGAAGGCAGUCACUUGGUCCAUUACUGACGCUAAAGCACGAAAGCGUGGGUAGCAAACA
rnacentral:rRNA from 1 species